AAUAAGGGCUUCUGCUGGGUGUGGUGCCCACAGGGCAGUGUGCCUGCUCCUUGUGCAGAAUCGACAGCAAGAAAUUUUGGAAGCCUCAGUUUUGGUGUGUGUGGAGCAGGUGAUCAUUGGUCCCUGUGCCCUC